rnacentral:pre_miRNA from 1 species
AGUAGAAUUGCUGGAUUGUAUGGUAAUUCUGUUUAGCUUUUUUAAGAAACUACCCAGCUUGUUUCCACAGUGGUUGGACCAUUCUAUAUUCCUGCUAGCAAU